rnacentral:rRNA from 1 species
CCUACGGGAGGCAGCAGUGAGGAAUAUUGGUCAAUGGGCGAGAGCCUGAACCAGCCAAGUAGCGUGAAGGAUGACUGCCCUACGGGUUGUAAACUUCUUUUAUAAAGGAAUAAAGUGAGGCACGUGUGCCUUUUUGUAUGUACUUUAUGAAUAAGGAUCGGCUAACUCCGUGCCAGCAGCCGCGGUAAUACGGAGGAACCGAGCGUUAGCCGGAUUUAUUUGGUUUAAAGGGAGCGUAGGUGGGUUGUUAAGUCAGGGGUGAAAGUUUGCGGCUCAACCGUAAAAUUGCAAUUGAUACUGGCAGUCUUGAGUACAGUAGAGGUAGGCGGAAUUCGUGGUGUAGCGGUGAAAUGCUUAGAUAUCACGAAGAACUCCGAUUGCGAAGGCAGCUUACUAAACUGCCACUGACAUUGAUGCUCGAAAGUGUGGGUAUCAAACAGGAUUAGAUACCCGUGUAGUC